UCGAGCGGAUGUUCAAG
rnacentral:misc_RNA from 1 species